rnacentral:rRNA from 1 species
UCUGUAGGCUGAUGAAGGUGCAUUGAGAAGUGUGCUGGAGGUAUCAGAAGUGCGAAUGCUGACAUGAGUAACGAUAAUGUGGGUGAAAAGCCCACACGCCGGAAGUCCCAGGUUUCCUGCACGACGUUAAUCGGAGCAGGGUGAGUCGGCCCCUAAGGCGAGGCUGAAGAGCGUAGUCGAUGGGAACCAGGUUAAUAUUCCUGGACUUUUUAUAAGUGGUGAAGUGGGGACGAAGAAGGCUAGGUGAGCCAGGCGUUGGUUGUCCUGGUACUUGCAUGUAGGGGGGAAGACUUGGCAAAUCCGGUUUUCCAUAACUCUGAGGUGCGAAGUGGUUCUGACCUUUUGGUACAGAGAAGUCAUUGAUGCCCGGCUUCCAGGAAAAGCUGCUAGCCAUAACUUAUAGAGAACCGUACCGCAAACCGACACAGGUGGACAGGUAGAGAAUACUAAGGCGCUUGAGAGAACUCGGGUGAAGGAACUAGGCAAAAUGGUACCGUAACU